rnacentral:lncRNA from 1 species
UGGCUGGAUGCAGACCCUGGGCUUCUUGGGUCAGUUCUACUGUAGUCUGCACACUGAAGGUAAUGCAGCCCCACUCACAAAGUUGCUGUGAGAAAUUAUCCAGCACAGGUGAAAAAAGUGCAGCAAACGGCCGGCUCCUCUCACACAGCGGCCCGCCGAGGCCUCCUCGCUGGCAGCAGGACUGUGUGCUCAGCCGCCCAGCCCGCUGUGCGUGGUGCGCUUCCCAUCCUGUCACAAGCACAGGUUGAUCGGGAGAGGAAAUCGGGCUGGGCUUCGGGAGUUUCUGUCCGGGUUGGUCGGCCCUGCUGCUUGGGGCCCGGCUGGGAGCGUGGAGGGACCAGCCCCUCCCCUCCCAAGACGAGGUGGCGCCAGGAGGGCGGGGAAUGCAUCUCCCUAGUCGCCAAGCUUCCCUCUCACUUCAACCUAUUUAGAAAUCAAAACCAAAAGGCGUGUUCACUUAAAAGAGGGUACAGACAUUCCUCAUGUGAUGACUGACUUCUGUUCCUGAGACGAGGUCGUUAAGUUCCUCUAGAGACUGCCUUAGAAACAAGAUGACCGCUCUGUAACCUCAAGAAACAAAGUAGCCCUUGAGGGCGGAGAAUGUUCAGAAAACUGGUAAACAAGGAAGCAGGU